GACGAACGCUGGCGGCGUGCUUAACACAUGCAAGUCGAACGAAGUGGCGAACGGGUGAGUAAUGCGUGGUUAACCUGCCCUCCUGUUUGGGAUAAGCCUUGGAAACGGGGUCUACUACCGAAUAAAGGGGGAUGGGCUCGCGGCUUGUCAGCUUGGUGGUGGGGUGAUGGCCUACCAAGGCGGUGACGGGUAGCCGGCCUGAGAGGGUGACCGGCGACAGAGACACGGCCCUACGGCCCAGAGGAGGACGGAGUGGAGCAGUGGGGAAUAUUGCACAAUGGGCGAAGGCCUCAUGCAGCGAGGCCGCGGGGGGGCUUAGGGCUUUCAGGUUGUAACCCUCGUGCGCAAUCGAACGGGUAGGUGGAGAAGAAGCGCCGGCUAACUACGUGCCAGCAGCCGCGGUAAUAC
rnacentral:rRNA from 1 species